rnacentral:rRNA from 1 species
CACGUCCUACGGGGCGCAGCAGUAGGGAAUAUUGCUCAAUGGGGGAAACCCUGAAGCAGCAACGCCGCGUGGAGGAUGAAGGUUUUCGGAUUGUAAACUCCUUUUGUUAGAGAAGAUAAUGACGGUAUCUAACGAAUAAGCACCGGCUAACUCCGUGCCAGCAGCCGCGGUAAUACGGAGGGUGCAAGCGUUACUCGGAAUCACUGGGCGUAAAGAGCGCGUAGGCGGGAUAGCAAGUCAGAUGUGAAAUGCUAUGGCUUAACCAUAGAACUGCAUUUGAAACUGUUAUUCUAGAGGAUGUGAGG